CUUUGAGGAAGCCACCCUCUUAACUGCUCUCUCGUUACUCUUGCUUCAUACCGUUUCUCCCUACAAGAGAGGAACUGCAUCUCCCCACUCCUCCCCCCCCCCCCCUCCCCAGCCAGCUCCUCCUCAGCCGAGCUGUGUUUUUUAUUAUCUAACAUGCUCCCUUUCCUUCUUGCUCUCUCUAAAGGUGGUGGUCAGCAUCCCCUGGAGGUGAAGCGCUGUGACCCGUAACUCACCGCCGCCUGGAGCCACACGGAUCGUCUGGACUUCACUCCCCCACCUCCAGCUUCUGUCCAACCGCCCUCUGAAGACGUCGACAAUGUGACAGCUGGACCCUUUCAGAAGCAUGUGACCUGCCGUUAUUAUGGAUCGGAAAAUCAGCAUACAUUGAAUCUACACUCAUCCAGCGUCACUGGAGGGUUUUAUAGUCAGAGCAGACGGGUUUGCUCUUUCCCUGCAGAGCGGGCAGUUCACUCAUCCCUUCUGGUCUCUUUUCCUCGCCUCAGAAUCAAGGGGCUUUUUGUUCUCCCGGCAGCAGCGCUCAUCACCUCUUCCACCGCCGCUGCCCUUCCCGUCGUUUUCUCGGGGAACGGAGGGAUAUUUUGAGGGAUGGAGCUUGUCGGUUCUGCGCGCAUCCUGAAAGACUGUCGUUAUUUCGGUCUCCUCUCGGUCUGAAAAUGGGGCUUGAGACCCCCCCCUCCCCCUUCUCGAUCUCCCUGUGCUGGAGAUCUGUUUAACCCCAGUAUCUUAUCACUUAGGAAAAAUAAAUCUCAGGGCAGCAGAGAAGCUUUGUGGAUUGUCUUCAUUACAGGCUCUGACGCCGCGUUUCAUUCAGAUUCAUUUGAGUGAAAUAGGUUUCUUCAUCCCGCAGGAUUUCUCUAUUUCUACGCUUGAAUAAAAUGACAUUUAAAAUCAGCAUACAUUCUCAGGGGAAGCAGUGUGGUUGGUUGUGAUUCUUUCUACAUUCUCUGAGUCAGCUGUUGUUAUUUAGCAUAGAACUCUCAAGUCGGUUUAAUCCUUUUUACUCACCAUUAGGAUGGAUUUAUGGUCAGUUAAAGGAGGGGAUUCCUCCAUAAUGUGACCACCGGUCAUCGUCUUGUUUAUUGUUUCCAUUGUAAGUGUAUAACCAGGAAGGAUGUGGUUCCUGAAUGGCUUAUGUUUCUGAAUUGAAGGAACCACAUAGUAUAAUCAAACCCCUACAUAGAAUGUUAUGAAGCAUAAGGAGUCCUGAUAUAAAUGUACUUUAAAGUGAAAUGACUGCGUGUUUAUUGACUGAUUGUGAUGAUAACAUGGCGUUCAUCACUAGAGAGCGGAGAGAGUGAACCUUUAACCGAGAUGAUUGCUUUUUAAAAUAAAGCUUUUUUAGUUUUUUUCUUGCGUCCUUUCCGUAAUCAACUUACAUACUCCAAAUUUCUAGGUAUCUAGGAAACACCCGCCUUGACAAAUACAAGAGAAAAAUGCAGAUUCAACACAUACUCAUAGACCAACCAAAAGGCCCCUUGUCUCAUUGUCAAUAAGCUAAUAACUCAUUAGUCCCCCACCGCAAAGCAUUGACUUUCCCAUACAUCACCACACUGACACACAAUCCCUCCUUCUUCGUCUCUCGCACUAGUACCUGGUCGCCGUGCCGGUAACCUCAGAACCUCAGAGGUGAUAAUGACAAGUGUCACUGCGGCGGCGCCGUCCUUUCCAGUCCAGCUGCCGCGCGGUGCACCGCGGCUACCGGCCGCUCUGGUUCCAGGCCAUAAUUGCUCUGCGUCUGUAUAAUUGACAGAUGGGAAGAGGGGGAGGGAGCGGGGGGGUUAAAUCCAAUGGCCGUCAAGGUGGGAGAAAGAUGGAUGCCUCGGUUUUUCAAUGCCGUCAGGUCUGGAGGUGUGAGGGGGUGUGGAGGACAUAAUGAGACGCUCUGCCUCCCCCCCUGCACACAUGAUGGACUACUAGUGGAAUGAUUUCUGGCACGGUGGCCCUCAAACAGGCCACGGCGCAUGUGUUUCCCGAGGAUCCCCUGCUGAAGCGUUGGUGGAUUUGGUGUGUGUGUGUGUGUGUGUGUGGAUUUCACGCCAAUUGGCCAGCCAAUACCAACUGUUGGUAGAUUUGGGAAGGAAACCUAUGCUUGUGCAGGCGUGUAUAGCUCGGCACGCAGACGGAAUGACACUGGAACGGGUCGACUAAGCCCGAGCUGAUGCGUGGCGUUGGUUUGUGUAGACGGUGGGCUGGAGUGAAUAUUUACUACCAAUCUCGGUUUUACAUUCCUCACCAGAACGUGAUAGAAGCCUAUAAACGCUUUGACCGCUAAAGACAUUAACUUAUACGUUGAAUGAGGAAAUGUUGCGGUGGGAAUGUUUAUAAGAGGAUUAUUAAUAAUCGCUUCUCAUCUGGCGCCAUGUUAUUUUUAACUAAUGGUGUAGCGGCUGAAACUACCCUACAGGGUUAGACACAGUGUGUCCGCGCCACCGUAUCCCAGUCAACAGGAUGUUUUAGCCUCAACCUGGCAACCAACCACAGCCACUGCAGUGGUUAAAGAAUGUUUUCUCCCUGAUUUUUUCUGUUCUUUUUUUUGUUUUUGUUUGUCACCCGCCAGUCUUUAUACACACACGCGUGCAUUUUCUCCUACGUUGAGUUCGGGUCUCCAUGACGAGUUUGUUCCCACAGAGGUGGAGGGCCGACACUGCAGAGCGGGCGCCUGCGGGUCUCCAAGGUCAUUACCACUGCUACAGCGUUCGGCCGCCCUGGGAAGGAGGCAGGAAUUGAUUAAUGGCAAAUGCUAGUACAAGAGCAGGAGGGGAGGAGCCGAGAUGCAAGGAAGCAACGCCGCAGAGUUGUUACUGUGAAAUGGAGCUAUAGAUAGCGCUAGUGUGAGAUGCUGCAGAGUGCGACACUAUGGCGACAAGUAUUUCUGAUAUUAAUAGUAAUAGUGUUCUCUAUGAAUCUAGGUAUGAUCUUUAGCAGGGGGAAUUGAGAUGAAGGAAGGAUUUUGAAGUGAUUAAUAGAUAUUCUAACUCAUUCUUAACUUAAAUGGUACCAAUUACUUCUUACAAACUGCAUGCUGAAAAUUGUAUUUUAUUAUUUAACAUAUUGAAUAUGAGCAAAAUAAAAUGCAAUGGUUUGUUUAAUGUCUUUAAUCUUUAACCUCGGCCACAAACCGCCUGUAAUGGAGUUCUAACACAGUUUUCAAUCAAUUGACACAUUGGCAUCAU
ensembl:lncRNA